rnacentral:rRNA from 1 species
CCUACGGGAGGCAGCAGUGGGGAAUUUUGGACAAUGGGCGCAAGCCUGAUCCAGCCAUUCCGCGUGAGUGAAGAAGGCCUUCGGGUUGUAAAGCUCUUUCGCAAGGGAAGAAACGAUGCAGUCUAAUAAGCUGCGUUAAUGACGGUACCUUGAUAAGAAGCACCGGCUAACUACGUGCCAGCAGCCGCGGUAAUACGUAGGGUGCGAGCGUUAAUCGGAAUUACUGGGCGUAAAGCGUGCGCAGGCGGUUCUGCAAGUCAGAUGUGAAAUCCCCGGGCUCAACCUGGGAACUGCGUUUGAAACUACAGGGCUAGAGUAUAGGAGAGGGGGGUAGAAUUCCACGUGUAGCAGUGAAAUGCGUAGAGAUGUGGAGGAAUACCAAUGGCGAAGGCAGCCCCCUGGCCUAAUACUGACGCUCAUGCACGAAAGCGUGGGGAGCAAACAGGAUUAGAUACCCUGGUAGUCCACGCCCUAAACGAUGUCUACUAGUUGUUGGUGGAGUAAAAUCCAUUAGUAACGCAGCUAACGCG